GAGAAGGAGGCUGACUGCCGACCACCACUACACUAGAGCUACCGUCGACUGCUAAAAAAGGUAAAAAUUCUCCCUGCCCGUUUAAAAUUCGAAUCCAAGCACCUCCUGUGGCUAAAUCGGAAUAAGAGGGGCGACGAGUGAGUUAAAAAUCGCGAGCAAAGCCCGGUAGAGCUGUCGCGGCCAAAACCCCAAAAUACCUCUAAUGAGCCCCUUCCCACUUCCCGUUUCAAGCAAUUUUUUGAUCAUUGUGUUCAUCGUCUUUUUUUAUAUAGGUUAACCAAAGAAAAAAUCUCAGCCAUGAAAGAGGACCAGUAGAAUUGCCGCACCUCGAGAUUUCUCCCUACUAGUAAGUUCGAUUUU
rnacentral:lncRNA from 1 species